rnacentral:rRNA from 1 species
GACCGUGCGAAGGUAGCAUAAUCAUUAGUUUUUUAAUUGAGGACUGGAAUGAAGGGCCGGACAAAAAACAACCUGUUUCUUAUAUAUUAUUUGAAUUUGACUUUUAAGUGAAGAGGCUUAAAUAACUUUAAAAGACGAUAAGACCCUAUAAAACUUUACAUUUGUUUGGUGGGUUUAAAUUUAUUAGUGAAACUUUAUCCUUUAAAAUUGUGUUUCAUUGGGGUGAUGAAAGUAUAAAUUUAACUGCUUAAAAAUGAAAACAGUGAUUUUUGGUUAUUAAUAGAUCCUCUUUAGGGAUUUGAAGAAAAAGUUACUUUAGGGAUAACAGCGUUAUUUUUUUGAAGAGUUCAUAUCGAUAAAAGAGUUUGCGACCUCGAUGUUGAAUUAAAACUUCCACAUGGUGCAGCAGUCAUUGUGGCAGGUCUGUUCGACCUU